rnacentral:rRNA from 1 species
UACGUAGGGACCAAGCGUUGUUCGGAUUUACUGGGCGUAAAGCGUGCGCAGGCGGUUUUGUAAGUUUGUCGUGAAAGCCCCGGGCUCAACCUGGGAAUUGCGAUGAAGACUGCAAGGCUUGAAUCUGGCAGAGGGGGGUAGAAUUCCACGUGUAGCAGUGAAAUGCGUAGAGAUGUGGAGGAACACCGAUGGCGAAGGCAGCCCCCUGGGUCAAGAUUGACGCUCAUGCACGAAAGCGUGGGGAGCAAACAGG